CGGAGGCGGAGGCGGAGGCGGAGGCGGAGGCGGAACGAGCCCUACGGGCUAACUUCCUGCGUGGGCUCUCGUCUCUUCUAACUCCGUACGUGGGCCUCUCACUGUUGUGGCCUUUCCCGUUGCGGAGCACAGGCUCCGGACGCGCAGGCUCAGCGGCCAUGGCUCACGGGCCCAGCCACUCCACGGCAUGUGGGAUCUUCCCGAACCGGGACAAGAACCCGUGUCCCCUGCAUCGGCAGGCAGACUCUCAACCACUGCGCCACCAGGGAAGCCCCAAAAAGUUAAUUUCUUGAAGGAUUUAAAAAUUCUUUCCACUUACAUUUGUCCAAUAUAGCAUAAAUGUUCUUGAAAUCUUUUCUUUCAUUAAAUUGGAUAUUCAUCUACAAAGUGAAGUGGAAAACUGAGGUCAUCACUCUUGAUCUCUACUCUUGAAAAAUACAGAAAACAGAAAAAGAAAACUGGGAUAUCAGUUUUCCAUGUUUCUAAAUUACUAUAUCUCUUACUCAUAAGAGAAAAGAAGGAAAAAUCCAUGAAACCCAGCCCACAACAAUAGAUUCUAAGCUAGACAAUUCUUUUUUAAGCUUGGAGAAAAUUUCAAUUUAUAUCUUGGCUGAAGGUUUAAGAAUUAUCCAUCUCUAGCCUUAUAUACAGUCUGAAUGAUAUAGGAAUGAGUUGGUAUUGGAGGAAGAAUUCUCCUGGAUUAGUGGCUAAAGCUUCAGGAUAUCUUGGGAACAUACAUGAUGAAUCCACAUUUCCUCCCAUCCUUCCUUGAGAACACAACUAGGCUUUGAGUAAACUUGUGUACAUCUUAUCAGAGGCGUAGCUGAGUACCUUUUUUCUUUUCUUUUAACAGUACAGCUGUGAGUUUCUGGAUGAUGGUUGAUGAAUGAAAGCAAAAUUUAUUUCGCAGGCCUCUCACUGUUGUGACCUCUCCCGUUGCGGAGCACAGGCUCCGGACGCGCAGGCUCAGCGGCCAUGGCUCAUGGGCCCAGCUGCUCUGCGGCAAGUGGGAUCCUCCCGGACCGGGGCACGAACCCGCCUCCCCUGCAUCGGCAGGCGGACUCCCAACCACUGCGCCACCAGGGAAGCCCCUCAUUUGAUUCUUUCAGCUCCCUCCAAAAUGAGUGCUUAAAAUAACAUAAUUAUCUAGCAUAAAAAUUAUUUAAAAUUUUAUUUUGGUUAACAACUAUAUUAUAUGCUCCCUUAAUUUUGUAAAAGGAUUUGUGCUUUAGCUAUUAGAAUAAGUUGCUUUCUCAAUUGCUGGGACAUAAACCCAAAGUUUUUAGCAAAACUUAUUGGAUGACUAUUAAUUACAUCUGUUACAUUUUCACCUACCUGUUAUCUUAUUUAACCCACUAAGUUCAGAAAGAUUUGGGGUAUAUCAAAAAAAUUUUUAAUUUCAAAACUCCUUUGUUGAUACUUUUUUUUUUUUUGCUAAAGUUAUUUUAUAUUGCCACAUGCUUUAAAUAUAUUUUUAUCAAAUCCUAGGAGCUUCUGAUUAUAAUCAUUCAACUUAUGGAAAAUGUCUAAAAUACAACCUAAUUGACAUAAAGAGUCCUCGCUCUUAAGCAUCUUGUGUCCUGCUGGCAUUUCUGAAGUGUAAUUAUCGUCUGGAAAUGGGACAGAAGAAUGAAUUCAUUUAAUCUACAGACUCUUUUUAAAGCUACUUUCUUCAUAAAUGCUUAUUAUAUGGUUUAUUUGAUUCAGUAAAGACUGGUUAAAGAAAUUAAAUUAGAUGCAAGAAUAGAAUUAUAUUGAUCAUAUAUUGAUGGAAUUAAGUUAUAUUGAUUCCAUGACAACCAGCCUCAAAUAAUCAGGGUAGUUACAAUGACUAGGUACUCAAUAAAUGUUUUGCUGAGUAAAUGAAUAAUGAAUCGGAAAAAAUACCAAAUAAAUGUCCACAUAGUUGCUUGAAAUUUUCCAGUAAACUCUACCUACUUCUGAAAUUUCUCCUGUUUCUAAUUCUCUUAAAAAGAAAAUUAAUAUCAGCAACUUACAUUUAUUAAGUUUUUAACAGGUAUCAAGCACUGUUCUAAGUGUUUUGUAUGUAUUAAUUUAAUUAUCACAAUG